rnacentral:lncRNA from 1 species
CUCUCAGGCACCCAGCGGAGUUUCGAGUCAGACUUGAGCUCGGGCGUAGCGGCUAGACCGGGCUGUGGCGAUAGAGUCCAAAGAUGGAGGAAGGAGGUCCCAAGCCAAGGAAUGCAGCAUGGGCCUCUAGAAGCUGGAAUGACCCUCACCUCACGGCCAGCAAGAAAUCAGGGAACUCAGUCUUACCCGAGUGAGCAGGAAAUCGAUUCUCCUCUGCAGCCUCUAUAGAGAACACAGCCUGUCAACACCCUGAUUUUGGCCCAAUGAGCCCUGUACCUCCAGAAGUGUAACGUAAUAAAUUUGUGUUGUUUU